CCCGACUCCAGUGGUGCUAUCCCUGUGCCUUAAUUCAUGACCGCCGCCCCUCUGCUGCAAUUUGGCAGCACAACCACCACUGGUGAGCCUUGUUUGCCGACCUCAACAGCCCUUUCGGUGACUGCUGUUUGGGGUGAGGUGUUAAUGGUGGAUGGAGGAUAGAUUCAUCAUGGGUUUGGUUUCGGACCGGAGAAAAUAGUGCCAAAUCCUUUAUUGUGUUUCUGCUCGACAGUGCCGAAGACGACACAGAGCUAUGCCGUAGUCGGAUCUUGGAGUGAAGAAUUUUCAGCAGCCAACGUCCCUUAAUGGCAGCAAGUUCCAGCCAGCAACUCUUUGGUUUCAGUACAAACUAGUGGCUGUGAAUUAAGGACUUUGACACAAGACGAGCAUCUCGAUGUUGGAUUUGAUUGGAUUGAACCUGCUUUUGGAGGCGGGUACCUCUUGACUUAUCUUUUAUGAUAU